rnacentral:rRNA from 1 species
UACGUAGGGUGCAGGCGUUAAUCGGAAUUACUGGGCGUAAAGCGUGCGCAGGCGGCUUCCUAAGUCAGAUGUGAAAUCCCCGGGCUCAACCUGGGAACUGCAUUUGUGACUGCACAGCUAGAGUUUGUCAGAGGGGGGUGGAAUUCCACGUGUAGCAGUGAAAUGCGUAGAGAUCGGCAGGAACACCCAAGGGGAAGCCAGCUGGCUGGGCAUUUGCUGACGCUCAUGUGCGACAGCGUGGGGAGCGAACUGG